UAGCCGGCGUCUCGGCAGUUUUCACGGCAGUCCUCACGGGUACGCAGCAUCACUUCCUGGGACCCUAUGAGCUCACGCUCCCGUGCCGGUUGCGGCACCCCAGGCCACGACUCUGAUGCCCAACUAUUCGCCCUUCAUCUGCCUCGCUCAUCGAGAGCUUCACGCAAUGGGUAUUCUGCUGUCCCGCGAAUUCGUCCAGUAGUGCACGUCCUCCUCGGCCGCUCUCGCUCUCUCCCUCCGGUGUAGACCACUGAUCUCGAUUGUAAAAGGCUGGAUCGCGGAUAGGGAGCGCGAGCGUGAAGAAACCGGCCGCCAUCUUACUGUACCCACAACAGUCGCCGCAGCGAUCAUGGCAACUUCUUGCAAUUACGGUCGUACCAACCGUACUGGCAAGGUUACAGGGCCUAAAUUCAUACAGGUUUCGUCAUGAGGGCUACCCAGUGAAUAAUCUGUGCAGUGUGAUACGGCUGGGUGUACAGGUUACUUCACAGCUGCCUCGACAUACUCAAGAAAUGGGUGCAGAACCUGCGUAAUGCCCACAAACUUUGACUACCACAGCACCUCCG